GGGGAUGUGGCUCAGUAGUAGAGUUCUUGCUUUGCAUGCAUGAGACCCUGGGUCCAAUCCCCAGCACCACAA
rnacentral:tRNA from 1 species